GCCUAUACAUGCAAGUCGAACGAACUCUGGUAUUGAUUGGUGCUUGCAUCAUGAUUUACAUUUGAGUGAGUGGCGAACUGGUGAGUAACACGUGGGAAACCUGCCCAGAAGCGGGGGAUAACACCUGGAAACAGAUGCUAAUACCGCAUAACAACUUGGACCGCAUGGUCCGAGUUUGAAAGAUGGCUUCGGCUAUCACUUUUGGAUGGUCCCGCGGCGUAUUAGCUAGAUGGUGGGGUAACGGCUCACCAUGGCAAUGAUACGUAGCCGACCUGAGAGGGUAAUCGGCCACAUUGGGACUGAGACACGGCCCAAACUCCUACGGGAGGCAGCAGUAGGGAAUCUUCCACAAUGGACGAAAGUCUGAUGGAGCAACGCCGCGUGAGUGAAGAAGGGUUUCGGCUCGUAAAACUCUGUUGUUAAAGAAGAACAUAUCUGAGAGUAACUGUUCAGGUAUUGACGGUAUUUAACCAGAAAGCCACGGCUAACUACGUGCCAGCAGCCGCGGUAAUACGUAGGUGGCAAGCGUUGUCCGGAUUUAUUGGGCGUAAAGCGAGCGCAGGCGGUUUUUUAAGUCUGAUGUGAAAGCCUUCGGCUCAACCGAAGAAGUGCAUCGGAAACUGGGAAACUUGAGUGCAGAAGAGGACAGUGGAACUCCAUGUGUAGCGGUGAAAUGCGUAGAUAUAUGGAAGAACACCAGUGGCGAAGGCGGCUGUCUGGUCUGUAACUGACGCUGAGGCUCGAAAGUAUGGGUAGCAAACAGGAUUAGAUACCCUGGUAGUCCAUACCGUAAACGAUGAAUGCUAAGUGUUGGAGGGUUUCCGCCCUUCAGUGCUGCAGCUAACGCAUUAAGCAUUCCGCCUGGGGAGUACGGCCGCAAGGCUGAAACUCAAAGGAAUUGACGGGGGCCCGCACAAGCGGUGGAGCAUGUGGUUUAAUUCGAAGCUACGCGAAGAACCUUACCAGGUCUUGACAUACUAUGCAAAUCUAAGAGAUUAGACGUUCCCUUCGGGGACAUGGAUACAGGUGGUGCAUGGUUGUCGUCAGCUCGUGUCGUGAGAUGUUGGGUUAAGUCCCGCAACGAGCGCAACCCUUAUUAUCAGUUGCCAGCAUUAAGUUGGGCACUCUGGUGAGACUGCCGGUGACAAACCGGAGGAAGGUGGGGAUGACGUCAAAUCAUCAUGCCCCUUAUGACCUGGGCUACACACGUGCUACAAUGGAUGGUACAACGAGUUGCGAACUCGCGAGAGUAAGCUAAUCUCUUAAAGCCAUUCUCAGUUCGGAUUGUAGGCUGCAACUCGCCUACAUGAAGUCGGAAUCGCUAGUAAUCGCGGAUCAGCAUGCCGCGGUGAAUACGUUCCCGGGCCUUGUACACACCGCCCGUCACACCAUGAGAGUUUGUAACACCCAAAGUCGGUGGGGUAACCUUUUAGGAACCAGCCGC
rnacentral:rRNA from 2 species